CCGCCGGCGACCGGCGCACGGGUGAGUAACACGUAUGCGACCUGCCCCCCGCAGGGGGAUAACCGGGAGAAAUCCCGACUAAUACCGCGUAACGCCGCGGACCUGCAUGGGUCUGCGGCCAAAGGAAGCGAUUCCGGCGGGGGAUGGGCAUGCGGCGCAUUAGCUAGUCGGCGGGGUAACGGCCCACCGAGGCGACGAUGCGUAGGGGUUCUGAGAGGAAGGUCCCCCACACUGGUACUGAGACACGGACCAGACUCCUACGGGAGGCAGCAG
rnacentral:rRNA from 1 species